AUGCUCACUUCAACAGCACAUAUGCUAAAAUUGGAAUGAUACAGAGAAGAUUAGCAUGGCCCCUGCUUAAGGAUGACAUGCAAAUUGGUGACGUAUUCCAUACGUUA
ensembl:snRNA U6 U6 spliceosomal RNA